rnacentral:lncRNA from 1 species
AGUUAUUGAAUAUAACUUCUGGGAAAAAUAGUCCAUUAGAAAAAAAAAUGCAAAGGUAUACUAAACCUAUGCCAUUAAAAGUUAAUGUUUGGGGUUAUGAUGGAAAUGGGAAUGUUCCUUUGUCUACCUCAUCCAUCCAGCCCACGUAAGUGAUAGGAAAAUUGAUUGUGAUCCUUUGAUUCAACCAAAACGAGUAUAUGACAAAGAUAUUCUACAGCCCAACUAAGCUACUCCUUUCUCGUUUCUACUAGAAAACUAGAGCAAUUAAUUGCAACAAAAUAUUUUCUUCCACUAUCUUCACUUCCCGAUAAUGGUGUGUAAGCAAUGUAGUCUACGGCUCUACGCAAUGGAAACAACAUGCCAGAAAAUCACAUAAUGAAAUUUACGAGUCACAAUUUAAAUUCAUAAAACCACUCAAAACAAAAUCUAUCCCCUCUCAUUAAUUGGCUACCUGACAUAUAUAGUUGUUUCUUCUCCCAAGAUCUCUCAUCGCACCACAUAGAACUCCCCUUUCGUUUAAGUUGGCUGACCUUGAAUUUGUUUUAGUCAGUUACUCAAUUGCAUGCUUGCUUAUCGGUGGGUUCAAGAAAAAAGCUUGAAGUGGAAUUGGUUGGUGUUGAUACAUAGGGAAGGACAAUGAAGAUGGAAGAUUUACAACAUUUUCUUUCCCCUUUCAAUUGUAUAUGACUUCACUGGUCAUGCAUCAAUG